CCUANGGGGGGCAGCAGUCGAGAAUUUUUCACAAUGGGCGCAAGCCUGAUGGAGCGACGCCGCGUGGGGGAUGAAUGGCUUCGGCCCGUAAACCCCUGUCAUUUGCGAUCAAACCUUAUUAUUUAAAAGAUGAUAAGCUGAUAGUAGCGAAAGAGGAAGGGACGGCUAACUCUGUGCCAGCAGCCGCGGUAAUACAGAGGUCCCAAGCGUUGUUCGGAUUCACUGGGCGUAAAGGGUGCGUAGGUGGUGGGGUAAGUCGGAUGUGAAAGCUCGGAGCUCAACUCCGAAAUGGCAUUGGAAACUACCCUGCUAGAGGAUUGGAGGGGGGACUGGAAUACUUGGUGUAGCAGUGAAAUGCGUAGAUAUCAAGUGGAACACCAGUGGCGAAGGCGAGUCCCUGGACAAUACCUGACACUGAGGCACGAAAGCUAGGGGAGCAAACAGGAUUAGAUACCCUUNUANUC
rnacentral:rRNA from 1 species